rnacentral:snRNA from 1 species
AGCUUUGCACAGUGGCAGUAUCGUAGCCAAUCAGGUUUAUCCGAGGUGCGAUUAUUGCUAAUAGAACACCCUGUCUUGCCCCAGGUCACUAUAGUCUGGCUUCCCGGGACAAGU